AACGCACAUUGCGCCCCUUGGUAUUCCAUGGGGCAUGCCUGUUCGAGCGUCAUUUGUACCCUCAAGCUUUGCUUGGUGUUGGGUGUUUGUCCUGUAUGGGACUCGCCUUAAAGUAAUUGGCAGCCGGCGUAUUGGCCUUGGAGCGCAGCACAAUUUGCGCUUUCAGUCAGUAUAUGUUGGCGUCCAUAAGACCUUUUAUCACUUUUGACCUCGGAUCAGGUAGGGAUACCCGCUGAACUUAA
rnacentral:misc_RNA from 1 species